rnacentral:rRNA from 1 species
UACGUAGGGUGCAAGCGUUACUCGGAAUUACUGGGCGUAAAGCGUGCGUAGGUGGUGAGUUAAGUCUGAUGUGAAAUCCCCGGGCUCAACCUGGGAAUGGCAUUGGAUACUGGCUCGCUAGAGUGCGGUAGAGGGUGGUGGAAUUCCCGGUGUAGCAGUGAAAUGCGUAGAGAUCGGGAGGAACAUCUGUGGCGAAGGCGGCCACCUGGACCAACACUGACGCUGAGGCGCGAAAGCUAGGGGAGCAAACAGG